rnacentral:lncRNA from 1 species
CUACCAGUUGCACUUGAAUAACAAGUCAAAAAGAGAUAUUCUAUAAUCAGCCUUGGCUUUCAGCCGGCUACCCUUUAACAAAGAGAGCAAGUAGCAAGAAGAGAAGAGAAGAAGCAGAGAGCCUUUUAGUGAGAAUAGUAGAGAGAACUAAAGUUUUUCAGUGUGUCUUAAGUGAGAAUAGAGGGACCCUUUCUAUAGUUGAAAGAAAAGCAUCAGUAAGGUAAAGGAAAUAUUCAGGAAAUCAG